AUACGUAGGGUGGCAAGCGUAUCCGGAAUUAUUGGCGUAAAGAGCUCGUAGGCGGUUUGUCGCGUCUGCUGUGAAAACUGGGGGCUCACCCCCAGCCUGCAGUGGGUACGGGCAGACUAGAAUGCGGUAGGGGAGAUUGGAAUUCCUGGUGUAGCGGUGGAAUGCGCAGAUAUCAGGAGGAACACCGAUGGCGAAGGCAGAUCUCUGGGCCGUAACUGACGCUGAGGAGCGAAAGGGUGGGGAGCAAACAGGCUUAGAUACCCUGGUAGUCCACCCCGUAAACGUUGGGAACUAGUUGUGGGGUCCAUUCCACGGAUUCCGUGACGCAGCUAACGCAUUAAGUUCCCCGCCUGGGGAGUACGGCCGCAAGGCUAAAACUCAAAGGAAUUGACGGGGACCCGCACAAGCGGCGGAGCAUGCGGAUUAAUUCGAUGCAACGCGAAGAACCUUACCAAGGCUUGACAUAUACGAGAACGCUGCAGAAAUGUAGAACUCUUUGGACACUCGUAAACAGGUGGUGCAUGGUUGUCGUCAGCUCGUGUCGUGAGAUGUUGGGUUAAGUCCCGCAACGAGCGCAACCCUCGUUCUAUGUUGCCAGCACGUAACGGUGGGAACUCAUGGGAUACUGCCGGGGUCAACUCGGAGGAAGGUGGGGAUGACGUCAAAUCAUCAUGCCCCUUAUGUCUUGGGCUUCACGCAUGCUACAAUGGCCGGUACAAAGGGCUGCAAUACCGUAAGGUGGAGCGAAUCCCAAAAAGCCGGUCCCAGUUCGGAUUGAGGUCUGCAACUCGACCUCAUGAAGUCGGAGUCGCUAGUAAUCGCAGAUCAGCAACGCUGCGGUGAAUACGUUCCCGGGUCUUGCACUCACCGCCCGUC
rnacentral:rRNA from 1 species